rnacentral:rRNA from 1 species
CGGAACGGGUGAGUAACGCGUGAGGAACCUGCCUCAAAGAGGGGGACAACAGUUGGAAACGACUGCUAAUACCGCAUAAGCCCACAGGUCGGCAUCGACCAGAGGGAAAAGGAGCAAUCCGCUUUGAGAUGGCCUCGCGUCCGAUUAGCUAGUUGGUGAGGUAAUGGCCCACUAAGGCAACGAUCGGUAGCCGGACUGAGAGGUUGAACGGCCACAUUGGGACUGAGACACGGCCCAG